rnacentral:lncRNA from 7 species
CCCUCCUCUCUCCCAACGUUUUACAUCUGUCUGUCAUGAGACAAAUGUCACCUAAAACUCAGUUUUCAAAUAUAUUAAAAUCUAGUAGGCACUUACAUCUGUUUUUAUAAUACCUUUAUAGAGAACAAUUACUUCUUUUUUUUUCUUUUUAAAUAUGAGUUAAUUAUUACAACAUUUAUGGAUCCCUUCUUGCAGGCUUCAUAGCCUCCUUUAUUAAGGGAAAGAUUGCCUUCAAAGACCAUGCUUUCUAAUUUACUAAAGUGUUGUUAGAUAAAGAGUUUACUAUGGGGAGAUUAAGAAUCAGUUGUUUUGCAGGUUUUAACAGAAAAAUAUCAUCAAACAGGAUACCAAUUCCAAAAGAUUUGUGUUUCAGUGGACAGCUUUCUCAUCAUUAGAGCUUCAGUAGUACUAAUCUUGCAUCAGUCAGUGAGGAUCUUCUUCUGGCUUCAUAUGGAAAAAGCAUAAAACAUCUUCAUCUCCUUUGCCUGUGCCAAAUUUGAACACGAGAGCUCUCUAAUUCUUUAUACACUAUCCAAAGGAGAGGACACAUUGCUGACUCUAUCCAAUUGGCCAGACUUUGGAAACGUGAGCACUGAAACUGCUGAGAUGGACUUUUCCGAUCCUACACUGUGACAGAUACAGUACAGACCUCUUCUGAAGUACAGCAAUAUUGAGCAUUGAGCAAUGAAAUUCGAAGAAGAUAGGAACCAUUUGGAAAGCUUCCCAGGCAAAAAGUCCCAGAAAGACAACACAAGUGAAGAGAGGUCUACAAAACAGGAUGAGGAAAAUCUGAGUAAGGAAUGUCUGCAACUGACAGUCAACCUAGUCAAGCAAAAAGUAGCGUGUUGUGGAGAAGAACUUAUGAAUCUGUGUGGACAUAUUCUAUUUGUAGCCUUACUGCUACAGAUAAAUGUUCCAGGAACAAAGACAAGCAAAUGCUCCUUAUAAACUCUUCUUUAGUAUCUCUGGUUGUCCUGUGUCAAUGUUCAAGUCUCUGGCUGAAGAACUAAUGUCAUUGGAAAAUGAAUUCCUGCUUCUGCAUAUAUAUACAUAUAUAUAUAUAUUUUUAAGCAAUUUCUGUUGGGUACUUUCCAUAAUAUACGUUAUAAAAGCAAAAAUGGAGAACAACUUCUAGUCUGGCUACACAAGAUUCAAAAUUUGUUCUCAAAAAGAAAAAGAACUUGGACACCAAUAUGUAAUACUGCCAUCUGGUGUUAUCAUCAACAAUAAUAACAUUAAAGUCCGAAUGUUCAACUGUUUAAGGACACUUAAGUAAUAAUUUCUCACAAAUUAAGAUAGUGCAUUAAUUCUCAGGAACAUACCUGACAUUCUCUCUUACUUUAAAUAUUGACAAUUUCAAGUUGAUAAUACUUCUGAUUUAACAAAAAUUAGCUCUUUGAACAGGAAUGAAAUUUCUUGUAAAUUUUCACCUUAAUGUGAUCAUUAUUUAACAUUUUACUAGAGCUUGUUCCCUCUCUUUUUAAGCAGUAGACAAAUAUAUGGAUAACAUUUUUUCUGUGCGUGGAAAUAAACUUUUUUUUUUAUACCAG